AAGUAACAGUGCUUGGAGAAAAUGGUUCUUGUAUCCAUAGGAUUCCACAGCACCGUGCAAGCUGUGGUUUUUGCUUUUUACUGGUAUCUGUGAACCUGGCAGGAAGUCUGUGCUUUCCUGUUUCCUCUGCAUGCAGCAGCCUUUUGGUAGCAACAUUUGUUAAUUAGAGAGUAUUGUGAUAUUCUCCCCAGAGCCAACUAAUGCAUUUGUUUUGAAAUACUGCCUUUUUGUGAGCACUCUCUAAGAAAUGGUUUGCAAUGUACUCUUGAAGUUAACUGUGCAAAAUUAAAAGAUUAGUUGAACUAUCACAGCAGUACUGGAGCUCUGCGGAUUAACAAUUUCAUCUUUAGGACAACAUAGCAUUAAAUAUAACAGAAGCACUGGAUUUUACUUCUGCCUGAAGAGAAAGGACAACUCAAAGAGAGCCUGGCGGGGACCUCUGAAUGGACCCUGCUGCUUUUCUGCGAGAUCUGAGUCUAGAACAAAAACUAAAAAGAAAGAAGGUGGUGCCUGGUGUGCCCUAAGAACACUUUGCAGCAUGUUCUUCAACCGGAUGCAUACUAAAAAAUUAGAAGAAUUAAAGCGUCACGAAAAACAGCAUCAAGUAUAUAAGGUAUGGGUAUGGGAAACAUGCU